rnacentral:rRNA from 1 species
GACGAACGCUGGCGGCGUGCCUAAUACAUGCAAGUAGGACGCAGUUGCGAACGGGUGAGUAAAGCGUAGGUAACUGCCUCUUAGAGGGGGAUAACAAUUGGAAACGAUAGCUAAAACCGCAUACGAGUAGAUGGACCUGCGGUGUAUUAGCUAGUAUGUAGGGUAAUGGCCUACCUAGGCACCGUAACAUAGCCGACGUGAUGUGGGGUUCGGCCACAAUGGGAAUGGAGAACUGGCCAGACUUCGAUGGGGGGCAGCAGUAGGGAAUCGUUGGCAAUGGGGGGAACCCUGACGGAGUAACGGCGCGUGAGUGGAGAAGGGUUUCGGAUCUUAAAGCUCUGUUGUUUAGGAAGCGGUACUGAACCAGAAAGGGACGGCUAACUACGUGCCAGCAGCCGCGGUAAUUC